rnacentral:misc_RNA from 1 species
UACGUAGGGCGCAAGCGUUGUCCGGAAUUAUUGGGCGUAAAGAGCUCGUAGGCGGUUUGUCGCGUCUGCUGUGAAAACCCGAGGCUCAACCUCGGGCCUGCAGUGGGUACGGGCAGACUAGAGUGCGGUAGGGGAGACUGGAAUUCCUGGUGUAGCGGUGGAAUGCGCAGAUAUCAGGAGGAACACCGAUGGCGAAGGCAGGUCUCUGGGCCGCAACUGACGCUGAGGCACGAAAGCAUGGGUAGCGAACAGG